rnacentral:lncRNA from 1 species
CAUGGAGGUGCAUCUCCAUUUCAGGCAGGAUCCCAGAGAACCCAACAGCAUCAUGCAUAUCUACAGCUCAGAAGUUUACAAGUUAAUUUGCAACUUCACAGAGGAGGAAUGAGAAUGGCAUGAGUCUCCUAGGGCUGUCGUGAGCAAAUAUGGUACCAUGUUGAGACGCCUGGGGGUGCAAAUGAAAGAGCUUUUCUGAAUGGGACUAUUACCCAGCCUUAUUGCAAUGGAAGCCUUGUUCAUACAGCGUUCCAGAGAGGACUUCUAUAAUCUCCUGCCUCAGGGACUUGAACCAGGGGAGAUGUAAGUCUGGGGCUGCUCUCACCUUCUUGCCGCUGUGUGGAGCCUGCAAAUGACAGUGAUUCCUGGAGGGGAGCAGAGCUGAGCACAUAGGUAUGGAGAAGGCAUAAUUAAGGUAAGGAUCAAGACGAGAUCACACUGGAAAAGGUGGGCCCUAAAUCCAGUGAGAGGAUAGGAAGGCCAGCACUCUUAUUCUGUCCUAAUAAGAGACAGAGACGGGCACACAGAGACACAGAAGAAGGCCAUGUGUUGAUGGAGGCAGAGACUGGAGUGAUGCCGUCCCAAGCCAGGGAGUGCCUGGCUCCGCC